rnacentral:rRNA from 1 species
ACGGAGGGUGCGAGCGUUAAUCGGAAUCACUGGGCGUAAAGCGCACGUAGGCGGUGUCGUAAGUCGGAUGUGAAAGCCCUCGGCUCAACCGGGGAACUGCAUUCGAUACUGCGACGCUUGAGUGCCGGAGAGGGUGGCGGAAUUCCAGGUGUAGCAGUGAAAUCCGUAGAUAUCUGGCGGAACACCAGUGGCGAAGGCAGCCCCCUGUACUGUAACUGACGCUCAGGCGCGAAAGCGUGGGGAUCAAACAG